ACUAUCGUUAACUGAAUACAUAGGUUAACGAGGCGAACCGGGGGAACUGAAACAUCUAAGUACCCCGAGGAAAAGAAAUCAACCGAGAUUCCCCCAGUAGCGGCGAGCGAACGGGGAGCAGCCCAGAGUCUGAAUCAGCUUGUGUGUUAGUGGAACGGUCUGGAAAGUCCGACGGUACAGGGUGAUAGUCCCGUACACCAAAAUGCACAGGCUGUGAACUCGAAGAGUAGGGCGGGACACGUGGUAUCCUGUCUGAAUAUGGGGGGACCAUCCUCCAAGGCUAAAUACUCCUGACUGACCGAUAGUGAACCAGUACCGUGAGGGAAAGGCGAAAAGAACCCCGGCGAGGGGAGUGAAAAAGAACCUGAAACCGUGUACGUACAAGCAGUGGGAGCACCUUCGGGUGUGACUGCGUACCUUUUGUAUAAUGGGUCAGCGACUUAUAUUCUGUAGCAAGGUUAACCGUAUAGGGGAGCCGCAGGGAAACCGAGUCUUAACUGGGCGUUAAGUUGCAGGGUAUAGACCCGAAACCCGGUGAUCUAGCCAUGGGCAGGUUGAAGGUUGGGUAACACUAACUGGAGGACCGAACCGACUAAUGUUGAAAAAUUAGCGGAUGACUUGUGGCUGGGGGUGAAAGGCCAAUCAAACCGGGAGAUAGCUGGUUCUCCCCGAAAGCUAUUUAGGUAGCGCCUCGUGAAUUCAUCUUCGGGGGUAGAGCACUGUUUCGGCUAGGGGGUCAUCCCGACUUACCAACCCGAUGCAAACUACGAAUACCGAAGAAUGUUAUCACGGGAGACACACGGCGGGUGCUAACGUCCGUCGUGAAGAGGGAAACAACCCAGACCGCCAGCUAAGGUCCCAAAGUCAUGGUUAAGUGGGAAACGAUGUGGGAAGGCACAGACAGCCAGGAUGUUGGCUUAGAAGCAGCCAUCAUUUAAAGAAAGCGUAAUAGCUCACUGGUCGAGUCGGCCUGCGCGGAAGAUGUAACGGGGCUAAACCAUGCACCGAAGCUGCGGCAGCGACACUAUGUGUUGUUGGGUAGGGGAGCGUUCUGUAAGCCUGCGAAGGUGUGCUGUGAGGCAUGCUGGAGGUAUCAGAAGUGCGAAUGCUGACAUAAGUAACGAUAAAGCGGGUGAAAAGCCCGCUCGCCGGAAGACCAAGGGUUCCUGUCCAACGUUAAUCGGGGCAGGGUGAGUCGACCCCUAAGGCGAGGCCGAAAGGCGUAGUCGAUGGGAAACAGGUUAAUAUUCCUGUACUUGGUGUUACUGCGAAGGGGGGACGGAGAAGGCUAUGUUAGCCGGGCGACGGUUGUCCCGGUUUAAGCAUGUAGGCUGGUUGUCCAGGCAAAUCCGGAUAAUCAAGGCUGAGGUGUGAUGACGAGGCACUACGGUGCUGAAGUAACAAAUGCCCUGCUUCCAGGAAAAGCCUCUAAGCAUCAGGUAACAUCAAAUCGUACCCCAAACCGACACAGGUGGUCAGGUAGAGAAUACCAAGGCGCUUGAGAGAACUCGGGUGAAGGAACUAGGCAAAAUGGUGCCGUAACUUCGGGAGAAGGCACGCUGGUGUGUAGGUGAAGUCCCUGCGGAUGGAGCUGAGACCAGUCGAAGAUACCAGCUGGCUGCAACUGUUUAUUAAAAACACAGCACUGUGCAAACACGAAAGUGGACGUAUACGGUGUGACGCCUGCCCGGUGCCGGAAGGUUAAUUGAUGGGGUUAUCCGUAAGGAGAAGCUCUUGAUCGAAGCCCCGGUAAACGGCGGCCGUAACUAUAACGGUCCUAAGGUAGCGAAAUUCCUUGUCGGGUAAGUUCCGACCUGCACGAAUGGCGUAAUGAUGGCCAGGCUGUCUCCACCCGAGACUCAGUGAAAUUGAACUCGCUGUGAAGAUGCAGUGUACCCGCGGCAAGACGGAAAGACCCCGUGAACCUUUACUAUAGCUUGACACUGAACAUUGAGCCUUGAUGUGUAGGAUAGGUGGGAGGCUUUGAAGCGUGGACGCCAGUCUGCGUGGAGCCAACCUUGAAAUACCACCCUUUAAUGUUUGAUGUUCUAACGUUGGCCCCUUACCGGGGUUGCGGACAGUGUCUGGUGGGUAGUUUGACUGGGGCGGUCUCCUCCCAAAGCGUAACGGAGGAGCACGAAGGUUAGCUAAUCCUGGUCGGACAUCAGGAGGUUAGUGCAAUGGCAUAAGCUAGCUUGACUGCGAGCGUGACGGCGCGAGCAGGUGCGAAAGCAGGUCAUAGUGAUCCGGUGGUUCUGAAUGGAAGGGCCAUCGCUCAACGGAUAAAAGGUACUCCGGGGAUAACAGGCUGAUACCGCCCAAGAGUUCAUAUCGACGGCGGUGUUUGGCACCUCGAUGUCGGCUCAUCACAUCCUGGGGCUGAAGUAGGUCCCAAGGGUAUGGCUGUUCGCCAUUUAAAGUGGUACGCGAGCUGGGUUUAGAACGUCGUGAGACAGUUCGGUCCCUAUCUGCCGUGGGCGCUGGAGAAUUGAGGGGGGCUGCUCCUAGUACGAGAGGACCGGAGUGGACGCAUCACUGGUGUUCGGGUUGUCAUGCCAAUGGCACUGCCCGGUAGCUAAAUGCGGAAGAGAUAAGUGCUGAAAGCAUCUAAGCACGAAACUUGCCCCGAGAUGAGUUCU
rnacentral:rRNA from 1 species